rnacentral:tRNA from 1 species
GGCGUCAUGGUGUAACUGGUUAACACGCCGCCCUCUCAAGGCGGAGAGUCCGGGUUCGAGCCCCGGUGACGCUA